rnacentral:piRNA from 1 species
UGCUUCCGUCUCAUUGGUCAGAGCUGAUGC